ensembl:lncRNA
AAACAUUAUCUAGCGGAAGGCCUAAAAAAACUCCGAGGUAACUGGUGAUAUUUUCUAUUUUAAAUACUAGGGGAUUAAGGCGCAGAGGUGACUAAGGUUUACACAGCAGAAAGCUGCAGUGGCUAGAGUCAAUGCAGGUGAUUAUUAGCCCUGGACUAUUUCUGCCACUAUCAGGAUUUUCAACAAAAAACAGUACGUGUGACAAAAAUCCAUCUGUUUGUGUCUCUUUUUGAGUUACUUAACCUUUGAAUAUUCAACCUUUUGCCCUCUUUUGCUUUAUGUUUUCAUGCCAUCUUAUCUUCAAAGAAGGGGAAAUACUUAUCUUCUUUUGUUAGCCUUUGUAUCUAAGAACACGAAUGAAGUGUUUAGGGACAAUUGCUUUGACUUUCACAAGAAAACUCAGUGGCUAUUUUGGGUGACAGUAUGCUUUGCUAGCAGAUAGAAAUAGAGAAAAUCCGGCAUCUCAAGGUGAAAUGAGAGUAAACAGUUUCCAGAAUUUUCUUCCUCUCUCCUUCCUUAAUAAUUGCAAAUUGCCACUGCUUAUAACCAUAAUAGAAACUAGACAUGUCUCUUGGCCUUCCUCGAUGAAAAAAAUAAAAAAGAAAAGAAACUAGACAUGUCAUAGAAAUGUCACUUAUGAAAAAGAAAAAAAAAAUUCAAAGGAAUCUCACUUCUACUUUCAACAUCCCUUACCAAAUCCAGUUUCUAGGACACAAAUCAUUCGGCAACCCUCCUUCCAAUUUCUAAUCCUAUUUUAAUCAUUGAAAUGGGCAGAGUCAGAUUUUAUGUAUGACAACUAAUCCCCUAUGCAAAGUUAAAACUAAUUUUAGAGUAAACAAAAAGUUAACUUCAAAGAGCGAGGGGCUGGGCGCGGUGGCUCACACCUGUAAUACCAGCACCUUGGAAGCCGAGGCGGGCAGAUCACUUGAGGUCAGGAGUUUGAGACCAGCCUGGCCAACAUAGUGAAACCCCAUCUCUACUAAAAAUACAAAAAUUCUCUGGGCUUGGUGGCAUGUGCCUGUAAUCCCAGCUAUUGGGGAGGCUGAGACAGGAGAAUUGCUUGAACGUGGGAGGCGGAGGUUGCAGUAUGAACGGAGAUUGUACCGCUGUACUUCAGCCUCGGUGACAGACGGAGACUCUGUCUCAAAAUAAAUAAAAUAGAAUAAAAUUACGUUUGUAGGUUGAUUUCUGUUUCUGUUUGAUAGCACUGACUCAGACAAAUCAGGAUCUAGUUCCAGAAAUGGAGAGGGAUAGAUUCCUGAACAAAAUCAUGGUUUUUGUUUUUUUUGUUUUUUUUUAAGAAAGAGGAAGUAUUUUCUUUUUGAAAUAAUCAAUGCUUUAUAUUUCUGUACAGAUAUUUAACAGAGAGGAUGGAUGGAGGGCAAACAAUGAGAGGCUAUACAUUCACUGAGAACUAUUUAUGUGCAAAUGUGCUGUGCUCAGUGUUGUGGGGAAAAGAAAUUGCUGACCACGUAGGGGAGAUAAGAUAUGUAGGCAUGUGAGUGGUGAAGAUAAAGCCUGUAGAAUUUCAGACUUCAGAGAUAUUCUGUCUUGUGUGACAAUGAACGCUAGCUUGAUCUGGGCCUUGAAGGUAGAUGGGGUUUCAAUAAAAGAAGUCAGGUGGAGAGAGAUGGCUUGGGAGGCAUUCUAGGUGGAGAGAAAAGCACAGAGAAAAUGCUGAGGCAGGAAAGCAUAAACUGAAUAUUUUAGUUUAGCCGAAGCUGAGUGCUAGAGAGAAAGAAGACUGGGUCACACUGUUUUUUUUUUUUUUUGAGACGGAGUCUCACUCUGUCCCCCUGGCUGGAGUGCAGUGGCCGGAUCUCAGCUCACUGCAAGCUCCGCCUCCCGGGUUCAGGCCAUUCUCCUGCCUCAGCCUCCCAAGUAGCUGGGACUACAGGCACCCGCCACCUCGCCCGGCUAGUUUUUUUGUAUUUUUUAGUAGAGACGGGGUUUCACCGUGUUAGCCAGGAUGGUCUCGAUCUCCUGACCUCGUGAUCCACCCGUCUCGGCCUCCCAAAGUGCUGGGAUUACAGGCUUGAGCCACCGCACCCGGCCAGGUCACACUGUUAAAGGCCUUACAGCACCAAGGUGAAUCUUAGUAGCAGCUUUAUUAUGGGAUUCCCGAAGGGAACAUUUAUUAGAGGCAUAGGCAGCAGUAAAACACAUCUUAAUGUACUUUAGCAGAGGAGCUUAAUUAAGCUAGGUUGCACCUCUCCUAUUGCUCUUAGGAAGCAUUCACAGGUCAGAUCAGCAUAAUUUAGUGCUUGGGAGCAUGGUUCUAAUCCCACCUGUGCAAUUUAUUAGUUUUGAGAUUUUGGGCAAUUUAUUUAACCUCUCUUUGUCUCAGUUUCCCUACCUGUAAAAAUGGGAAUGAAGGCCGGGCGAGGUGGCUCAUGCUUGUAAUCCCAGCACUUUGGAAGGCUGAGGCGGGCCGAUCACUUGAGGUCAGGAGGUCAAGGCCAGUCUGGCCAAUAUAGCGAAACCUCGUCUCUACUAAAAAUACAAAAAUUAGCCGACCGUGGUGGUGUGUGCCACUUGGGAGGCUGAGGCAGGAGAAUCGCUUGAAUCUGGGAGGCAGAGGUUGCAGUGGGCCAAGAUUGUGCCACUGCACUCCAGCCUGGGCAACAGAGCAAGACUCCGUCUCAGAAAAAAAAAAAAAAAAAAAAAAGGAAUGAUAAUAGUGGUACCUACUUCAUAGAGUUUCAGAUUUAACUGAUUUAAUAUAUAUGUAACAGUAAGACUACACAGCGUCUGCACAUACAGUACC